CAGAGGUGGCAAGCGUUGUUCGGAAUUACUGGGCGUAAAGGGCGCGUAGGCGGCCUUGUCAGUCAGACGUGAAAUCCCCAGGCUUAACCUGGGAACUGCGUCUGAUACUACAAGGCUGGAGUUCGGGAGAGGAAUGUGGAAUUCCAGGUGUAGCGGUGAAAUGCGUAGAUAUCCGGAGGAACACCGGUGGCGAAGGCGGCAUUCUGGACCGAAACUGACGCUGAGGCGCGAAAGCCAGGGGAGCAAACGGGAUUAGAUACCCCGGUAGUCCUGGCCCUAAACGAUGAGUGCUUGGUGUGGCGGGUAUCGAUCCCUGCCGUGCCGAAGCUAACGCAUUAAGCACUCCGCCUGGGGAGUACGGUCGCAAGGCUG
rnacentral:rRNA from 1 species